AGGGAUUUAAGUUAAUUAAACUAAGAACCUUCAAAGUUCUAAAUAGAAAUGGGAAGUUUUUAAUCUCUG
rnacentral:tRNA from 1 species